rnacentral:rRNA from 1 species
AUUGAACGCUGGCGGCAGGCCUAACACAUGCAAGUCGAGCGAAUGAAGGGAGCUUGCUCCUGGAUUCAGCGGCGGACGGGUGAGUAAUGCCUAGGAAUCUGCCUGGUAGUGGGGGAUAACGUCCGGAAACGGGCGCUAAUACCGCAUACGUCCUGAGGGAGAAAGUGGGGGAUCUUCGGACCUCACGCUAUCAGAUGAGCCUAGGUCGGAUUAGCUAGUUGGUGGGGUAAAGGCCUACCAAGGCGACGAUCCGUAACUGGUCUGAGAGGAUGAUCAGUCACACUGGAACUGAGACACGGUCCAGACUCCUACGGGAGGCAGCAGUGGGGAAUAUUGGACAGUGGGCGAAAGCCUGAUCCAGCCAUGCCGCGUGUGUGAAGAAGGUCUUCGGAUUGUAAAGCACUUUAAGUUGGGAGGAAGGGCAGUAAGUUAAUACCUUGCUGUUUUGACGUUACCAACAGAAUAAGCACCGGCUAACUUCGUG